UUUCUUCCAUUUGUCCAUGCAGAAUAUAGUAUUGGAAGGACUAGCCAUAGCAAUCAGACAAGAAAAAGAUAUAAAAGGCAUCCAAAUUGGAAAGGAAGAGGUAAACCUGUCCUUAUUUGCAGACAACAUGAUAGAGUACAUA